rnacentral:rRNA from 1 species
AGUGAACGCUGGCGGUAGGCCUAACACAUGCAAGUCGAACGGCAGCACAGUAAGAGCUUGCUCUUACGGGUGGCGAGUGGCGGACGGGUGAGGAAUACAUCGGAAUCUACUUUUUCGUGGGGGAUAACGUAGGGAAACUUACGCUAAUACCGCAUACGACCUACGGGUGAAAGCAGGGGAUCUUCGGACCUUGCGCGAUUGAAUGAGCCGAUGUCGGAUUAGCUAGUUGGCGGGGUAAAGGCCCACCAAGGCGACGAUCCGUAGCUGGUCUGAGAGGAUGAUGGCCAACAGUGAAAGUGAGACAGGGCCCAGACCCCUAGGGGGGGCAGCAGGGGGGAAUUUGGGAAAAGGGGCGCAACCCUGAUCCCCCCAUCCCGGGGGGGUGAAAAAGGCUUUGGGGUUGAAAAGCCUUUUUUUUGGAAAAAAAAAGCAGCAGGUAAAUCCCCCGGUGUUCUGCCGGUACCAAAAGAAAAAGCCCCGGCAAACUUUG